UACGUAGGGGGCAAGCGUUGUCCGGAUUUACUGGGCGUAAAGAGCGCGCAGGCGGUCGUUCAAGUCGCGUGUGAAAGCCCCCGGCUCAACUGGGGAGGGUCACGCGAUACUGAUCGACUCGAAGGCAGGAGAGGGAAGUGGAAUUCCCGGUGUAGUGGUGAAAUGCGUAGAUAUCGGGAGGAACACCGGUGGCGAAGGCGGCAUCCUGGACCAACACUGACGCUGAGUGAGCGAAAGCCAGGGGAGCAAACGGG
rnacentral:rRNA from 1 species